rnacentral:ncRNA from 1 species
UAAUCAGCUUUGAUGAAGAGUAGUAGCUAUUAUUAUUUGUUAUAGAGAGCUAGUGGUUGGUGGAAACUAGUACAAAUAAAUAGUGAAUGGACUUCGGAGCUCUAAUCCUGAAUAAAGUAUGGAUUAGCGUCUGCCUACGUUACAGGGUAUAGAGUGGGUCUUUAACUCUUUCAGCAGGUAUCCAAGCAUCAGCUGAUUGUAAUUAUGCUAGGGCAUAAUUGAUGAAGACCAAUGAAGGUGGCACCACGGCUUUUCCGUCCUUUUG